rnacentral:rRNA from 1 species
UCCUACGGGGAGGCAGCAGUGGGGAAUUUUGGACAAUGGGCGCAAGCCUGAUCCAGCCAUGCCGCGUGAGUGAAGAAGGCCUUCGGGUUGUAAAGCUCUUUCGUCCGGGAAGAAAUCGUGUUCUCUAACAUAGGACAUGGAUGACGGUACCGGAGUAAGAAGCACCGGCUAACUUCGUGCCAGCAGCCGCGGUAAUACGUAGGGUGCGAGCGUUAAUCGGAAUUACUGGGCGUAAAGCGUGCGCAGGCGGUUUUGUAAGUCAGAUGUGAAAUCCCCGGGCUUAACCUGGGAACUGCGUUUGUGACUGCAAGGCUAGAGUGCGGCAGAGGGGGGUGGAAUUCCUGGUGUAGCAGUGAAAUGCGUAGAUAUCAGGAGGAACAUCGAUGGCGAAGGCAGCCCCCUGGGCCUGUACUGACGCUCAUGCACGAAAGCGUGGGGAGCAAACAGGAUUAGAUACCCUGGUAGUCCACGCCCUAAACGAUGUCGAG